rnacentral:misc_RNA from 1 species
GGUGCAGACGAUUUAAACAAAACGGUGAACGGGAUGCCUAGCUUCGUUUCUUCGAUGCCCACAGCCAAUAAUUCCAUGGGUGCAGAGGGGAGCUCUAUUCCUUCAUCUCGGAUUUCAGACUUUAGAACACUUGAGCAAACUCUUGGAUUUCACAUAGAAGAUGUAGACCUUACUAGAAAUCCUUUGUAUAAUCAGAUAAAGUCCAGUAGUUCGACUCUGAACAACAUCCAAUUUGGUUCUUUAAUUAAGCCACUUGCAU